rnacentral:rRNA from 1 species
CCCUUAGAUGUUCUGGGCCGCACGCGCGCUACACUGAUGCAUUCAACGAGCCUAUCCUUGACCGACAGGUCCGGGUAAUCUUUGAAUCUGCAUCGUGACGGGGAUAGAUUAUUGCAAUUAUUAAUCUUCAACGAGGAAUGCCUAGUAGGCGCAAGUCAUCAGCUUGCGUCGAUUACUUCCCUGCCCUUUGUACACACCGCCCGUCGCUCCUACCGAUUGGGUGUGCUGGUGAAAUGUUCGGAUCGGCCGUUUGUCGCGGUUUCCGCGGCUCGUGGCUGAGAAGUUCAUUAAACCCUCCCACCUAGAGGAAGGAGAAGUCGUAACA